rnacentral:rRNA from 1 species
GAUGAACGCUGGCGGCGUGCCUAAUACAUGCAAGUCGAGCGAAAAGACGGGGAGCUCGUUCUCUUGAGGGUAGCGGCGGGCGGGCGAGUAACACGUGGAUAAGCAACCAAUAUUACGGGGGUAACUUCGGAAGACCGGAGACAAUACCGGAGAAUAUAUUGAACCGCAUGGUGCAAUAGUGAAUGGCAGAUUUGGUGUCAGAUAUAGAUGGUUCCGGGCCGCAUUAGCUAGUUGGUAAGGUAACGGCAUACCAAGGCAACGAUGCGUAGCCGACCUGAGAGGGUGAUCGGCCACACUGGAACUGAGACACGGUCCAGACUCCUACGGGAGGCAGCAGUAGGGAAUCUUCCGCAAUGGGCGAAAGCCUGACCCAGCCACACCGCGUGAGUGAUGAAGGUCUUCGGAUCGUAAAGCUCUGUUAUUAGGGAAGAACAACUGCGUAUGUAUCUCCGGCCGUCCUGACGGUACCUAAAGAGUAAGCACCGGCUAACUACGUG